AUGAACAUAUAAAGGAGGAGGAGACGUGAGGUCGAGAGGUAUGAAUAGAAUGAAAAAGAGGAGGGAGAAUGGGAUAAAAAGAGUGAACAUACUAAUAACGAACGUUAGAAAAUAGGAUGUGUUCCGAGAAGAAGGAAAUGAAGAGAAGACUGGGCUGAGAUUGGUGGAAUUAAGAGGUGGUACUGGCAGCGACGGGGAGAAGUGGAGGCGGAGAAGAAAGAGUAAUGGAGGAGUAUGGGGGAUAGUAGUGGUCUGAGGGAUAUGGAUAGGGGUGGGGUGGAGGGCAGGUGAUAGUGGCCCCCGGUGCCUGUUGGGAACUUGACCUCAUUGUAACUGGAGGUACUUCAGGCGGCGUGGCGUGAUGGAAAGGGAGCGUCUGCUGUUCGCCUUCUCCAUGUACUCUUUUAUUUUAAGGAUGUGGCAUAGUGGUGGUGGUGACGGUGAUUCUGCAAAAAGCUACUCCGUUGUUCAAACAGGUCAUGCUGCACUGGUGGUGUGGCAUUGAGGGAAGCGCCUCUUUUUAUCCCUGCCCACCACUUUACUGAACACAUGAAGGUGCUCCAGAGUUUCAAGAAGGGAGUGGCGCACAUACUUUGCUGCACUCCAAGCUUUUGGAGGUCCAGUGGCACACUGCACUCUGCUUUCAUAAAUGUGUGUGCAGAGUGCAAGACAGAGAGGGGCAAGGAUGGAGGAUGCUGCAACAUUCAUUGGUUCGGGCUUUCUUUUUUUUGUGGAAAGUAGUUUACACAGUUUUAACCGAAGGAUUAUGUGUCAUCAUUCGUAUUGUGUUGACCUUUGCAUCAAAUCACUUCAUUACAUGUAAGUUGUAUAUUUAACUGCAUGGAGUAACAGUUUAUGAAAUUUGUAAUGUAUAAAAAGUGACUUAUAAGAGAUCUUGCAUUAUGAAAAUUUCUUUAAAGGUCUUUGUUUAUUAGCUUGAUCUAGUUGUGUCAGUUUUAACAGUCCAGAUUGUAGAGAGAUUAACCAUUGGCCAUUGUACUUCCUGCAGAUGGAAUUUCAGUCAACGCUGCAAGGUGUGUGUGUGUGUGUGUGUAUGUGUGUGUGUGUGCAGCUUUGUGAGCAAGUGUGCCAGUCAUUCCUUGAUGUCAAUGUCUUUCAUUUAGGGAAAAAAUGUUGUGUGUAAUUAGGUUUAUAUACAUUUUUGAGUGAGGAUGUUUGGACUGAUUAAAUAGUAAGUUUUUCAACUUUCUGGAGCUUUGCUGUUUCUGUUCUGUAUGAGAUUUCAGGGGCUGUAUUCUACACACCAUCAUAGCUAAUGACGUGAUCGUAGCGAGACAAAAUGUUUUAGACACAAGUCCCUCUGUGACAGGCUCUAACCUUGUGACUCAUCAUAAGUGCCAAGAAUGACUAAAGUUGUGCAUUUUAGACACAAGUCCCUCUGACAGGCUGUAACCUUGUGACUCAUCAUAAGUGUCAAGACAGAUUUCAGUCUGUUGUAGCGCUGCCAACCGCUGUCUUACUCGUGUCAACAUGGUGGGAGCUUGGCUGUAUGUACCAUAGCAUGAUCCAAGGCAGUUUUGAUAUUAAUUAAUGAUAAAUAUCUGUAAUGAUGACUAAAUAAUGUCCUUCUUUGAUGCAGUAAUUUACCAUUGUAGAUAACUGCCGAGAGGGGUACGAUCAGUUUUCCCCAAACUCAAAAACAAAUCUUGCUCUGAGUGGCGUGCAUGUGUCAAGGGACAACAUGCUGUUUGAGAGCAGUGCCAUUGUGAAAUGUUUAAAGAAUCAUUUUACAGAGGUGAUAGUUCCUCACAGACUUUGCAAUGAAAAUGCUCUCAAAAUACUCUUAGAACUUGUAGUAAGUAAACAAGACCUGUGUAAUGAUGGAAAUGCACUCUAAUCUUUUAGCCAUUUUUUUUUUUUUUUUAUUAUAUUACCUGUUCAUACAGGGACUGC